CCCGCMCAAGCGGUGGAAAAAAGWGGUUUAAUUCGAAGCAACGCGCAGAACCUUACCAUCCUUUGACAUGGCGUGUUACCCAGAGAGAUUUGGGGUCCUCUUYGGAGGCGSGCACACAGGUGCUGCAUGGCUGUCGUCAGCUCGUGUCGUGAGAUGUUGGGUUAAGUCCCGCAACGAGCGCAACCCACGUCCUUAGUUGCCAUCAUUCAGUUGGGCACUCUAGGGAGACUGCCGGUGAUAAGCCSCGAGGAAGGKGUGGAUGACGUCAAGUCCUCAUGGCCCUUACGGGAUGGGCUACACACGUGCUACAAUGGCGGUGACASUKRGGCGGGAAGGAGCGAUCUGGAG
rnacentral:rRNA from 1 species